GCACUGCCCGGUAGCUAAAUGCGGAAGAGAUAAGUGCUGAAAGCAUCUAAGCACGAAACUUGCCCCGAGAUGAGUUCUCCCUGACUCCUUGAGAGUCCUGAAGGAACGUUGAAGACGACGACGUUGAUAGGCCGGGUGUGUAAGCGCAGCGAUGCGUUGAGCUAACCGGUACUAAUGAACCGUGAGGCUUAACCUUACAACGCCGAAGGUGUUU
rnacentral:rRNA from 1 species